CCUGACCUUGAAGUCCCGGUGUCACAAGUUAAUGCCACUGUUCCUGCUGUUGUCAAAGAGUCCUUGAAUUUAUACUUCACUUCUCUGUAGAGCUUGGGUACGGCUGUGUCGGCGAAAAAAUGUCUGGACAGAGUCACAUACCUGGGUUCCAGUGUUUUUAGCAUGCAACAAAAGCCUUUGUUUUCAACACACGCCCAAGGCAUGAGCAAACUAAGCACCUGCUUAGGGCCCUGUGACCACUAGGGGGCCCCCAAGAGCAAUUAACUUAAAAAAAGAAAAAAGUAAUUCAUUAUUUUUUUCCAUGUGUGAGUGAUGAUGAUUCAUAUAUUAUCAAAUGUACGUUCUUGUACAAAAAGACAAUAUUAUGUUAACAGAGUGUAGUUUCCUACUGCCUCUCUGCUCUAAAUGUCAGAGCUCCGCUAGUAAUGUGUUUGCAUCCAGCUGUGCAGUGCGCACUGCGCAUCCAAGAAGCUAGGAGCAGGUGGACGGCCUUAUAAUGUCGCAAAAAAGGACAUACCCUUCAGGGGUGGAAAAAAGAAAAAGGAAGAAAGAGGAAGAGGAGAAAAACGACAAGAUAAAGGAGCACUGUUAAAGUAUUUUGGAGGAGGCACUGACUCAGCCCAGGGGCAGUCCACCUCCUCAGGCUCAGCCAAGGAUAAUGAAUCAAGUCCAUCUCCAUCCUCCACUCCAUCCACUGUGCCCACUGUCUCCUCUAUUUCUGCUGCAACCUCAGCUGUACCUGGUCCAUCUCCAGCCUUUGCUCCAUCCACUGUGCCCACUGUCCCCUCUGUGUUGCAGUUUAUUUAAAACAAAAAAAUAAUAAAGCAGAUUGUGUUUACA